UAAAGGGCCGCGGUAUAUUGACCGUGCGAAGGUAGCAUAAUCAUUAGUCUUUUAAUUGAAGGCUGGAAUGAAUGGUUGAACAAAAAAUAUCCUGUCUCACUAUUAAAAUUAAAAUUUGACUUUUAAGUAAAAAGGCUUAAAUAACAUAGAAUGACGAUAAGACCCUAUAAAGCUUUAUAUUGAAAAAAUAAUUAAUAAGUUUAAAUUUAAAAAUUAUUUAUUUUAAAAAUAUUAUGUUGGGGCGACAAAAAUAAAAAUUGUAACUGUUUAUUUAUUAAAAACUAUAAUAAAAGAAAAAGUGAUCCUUUAAUAAAGAUUAAAAGAUUAAGUUACUUUAGGGAUAACAGCGUAAUCUUUUUUAAGAGUUCAUAUCGACAAAAAGACUUGCGACCUCGAUGUUGAAUUAAGAAGUCCUUUUGGUGUAGCAGUUAAAAAG
rnacentral:rRNA from 1 species